GCUUCUCAGGGCUACUCCGCUAAGCAACACACGUUCUAACACUAAUCUUCGGUGCUUAAAAUGUAAGUAAAGUGUGUGGGGGGGGGGGGGCGGUUUCCAAGUCAGGUUGUAAACAAAGAUUAAAAUAAAAGCCUGUAGAGAGAGAAGACAUGGCAACUUUGAUCCUUCCUAAGGUGAAAAUGACGGAUGCAAGGGUUUACGCACUGGGGAAGUUUCUAGCGGACCCGAGAAAUUCCCAGGGUACACGGAAAGACAGCUUCAAGAGAGAAGAAAACCCAGGAAGGAGAAGAAGCUUUUCAGUUUCGUGAAGUCCCUUGGUAUGACCCUAACCAAGCAAGUCAAAGACUUAUAUAAGAAAAAAAAAUUUCAAGUCUCUGAAGAAAGAAUUAGAAGAAGAUAUCAGAAGAUGGAAAGAUCUCCCAUGCUCAUGGCUUGGCAGGAUUAACAUAGUAAAAAUGGCCAUCUUACCAAAAGCAUUCUACAGAUUCAAUGCAAUUCCUAUCAAAUUACCAACACAAUUCCUUACAGACCUUGAAAGAAAAAUUCUCAACUUCAUAUGGAAUAACAAGAAAUCCAGAAUUGCUAAAACAAUCCUCUACAAUAAAAGAUCUUCUGGCGGUAUCUCCAUCCCUGAUCUCAAGCUGUACUAUAGAGCAACAGUAAUAAAAACUGCAUGGUACUAGCAUAGAAACAGAAUGGUGGAUCAAUGGAACAGAAUAGAAGACCCAGAAAUAAACCCACACACUUAUGGACACCUGAUUUUUGACAAAGAUGCCAAAACCGUACAAUGGAAAAAAGAUAGCAUUUAGAUUCUUAAGGAAAUAAAAAUCUUCAAUUAUCUACCCAACUUCUCUCUGGGAGUCUUGAGAAUAAAGCUGUUGCCAGGCCACCACGCCAUCCAUCUCUGUCUUCUCCAACCUGACACAAACCACAAGCCAGACUUUCUCUCUCUGGAAUCUCCUAUUUAUAUCCUCAGAGUCCUAGGCCACACCCCUCUCCGUGCUGCAGGAGGCAGGCUGUUACCAGCUGACAAAGACCAUGUCCUGAAGGAGGCAAAUUAUCAGCUGUGAACCAACUAGAGCCCAAACUAAAAUCCCACACUUGGGAUUAAAGAAAAAACAUAUUUACAUCAUAUAACCGAAUUUUCAAAGAAACCAAAACUUAAAUUACAAGCCUCUUUUCAUGCCUGCCCGCACCAUCGCAAUAUAAGCAGAGUUCUACAAUAGCACACCCCUGUUAAGAAAAUAAGGAGAAAAUGCUUACAUGAGAGUUUGAAAUGUUUUGUUGAGUUAUGGUAGAAGCCAAGGCAAUAUAUAUAUAUGGGAAUAUACUCUGGAGACAGAAGACAGAAUGGAGAGACAGAAUUUUAGGUGAAGCUAAUUAUCUUAAUUUAAAACACAAGAGUUCUUUAUUUAGCAUCGUAACCCAAACAUCUGGAGAUAUUAAUUAUAAAGAUAAUUUGAGUCACUCAGGACCUAAAUUAUAAAUUAAAAUGAGAGGCCAUAACCCAGCUCCUCACUGUAAUAUAGAUGCAAAGAAUAAUGUACACCAUAUUUUCAGAGAAGGUUGAAAUUUUACCCAUAUUUUUCUUUUUAUCACCAUGUUCUCAUUAAUAGAUUCUCCCCACACAUACCACCACCACACCUAUUUCCCUACUGUUUCAUGUAGGAAGGGCAGAUUGCAGCUAACCUUCAUUCAUAAGUUAUAAUUUCUAAGUUAAACUUAUCUUAAAUUCAUGGUUUACAAAAUAUCAUGACCAGAUGUUAUAAAGCUCAUGCUGGAGUGAGUCUUGCCAAGGGAUCCUCACUUAGACGCAGCUGUGAUAACUACUGAGCUAGAGAUCAUCUUACUCAAGAAAAGAGAAGUGUGUUUUAGUUAUGUGAUAAGUAGCCACACAGGGACAGACCAAAAACUACUACUUGGAAAUUUAAAUUUAAAAAAGCUUAAGUGUAGCUGUUGGGCAGCAAAGAGUUAAUUGCUUGCUCAUAUUUAUUUUCUUCAAAAUUCCUUCUCCCUCUCUUUAGAGAGAAAGAGAGAGAGAGAGAGAGAGUUUGGCGGGGGUGGAGGUUCUAGCUUAUAUUUGUAGCUGACUUUUACUUGCAGCAUGCCUUUUCAAAACUUUGGGAAACGAUAGCUGUGUUUUUGAGUUUUCUUUCAGCUAGAACUUAGGCUAUUGGGGCCAAUGUAUUAAAAUUAGUAAGCUAAUUAAAAAACACCACUUUAAGCAAGCUCUUUGUCUGUUUUUACUCUCUUACAUACAUGAGCUGGGGAGCUGCUCUGUCUAUGCAUUUCUUGCCUUAAAAGAAUGAGGUCUUGAUUUCAGUCCCAUGGCUCACGUAACAAAGCUGGACAUGAUAGUGGACAGGAUACCAGUGCUGGAGAGACAGAGACAGGCACCGAUCUGGGGGUCACUGGUCAUCAAGCUUAGCCUAAUUGGUCUCUAGGUUCAAGAAGAGAUGCUUUCUGAAAAAGCAAGGUCCACAAUGCCUGAGGAAGAAGAACACCUGAGAUUGUCCUACACACACAGACACACACCUUUCAUAAAAAUGAUUCAAUUUGUUUGUGUUCUCCAAGUCUGGUUUCUGUCCAAUGUUACACAUUCAAGAUUCUCAGUGCUCGGCACCUUAGUCGUCCAGGGCAGGCUUUUGGGAGACAGCCUCUUAUACUUGGAGUGCAGUGCGAGUGGGUUCUCUUGUCUGGACACUGUGACAGAACAAUAGAGGGACACUGGCCCACUAGUGCCUCUGUAUUUUAUUGUCUCUGGCUGUGCAGCCCUGCUUGCAACUGGCAGAAUCACACUGGCUAUGUCAAAGGAGGUAUGGUGGCAUUCCUGGCUGCUGGACUCCUCUGCAGGAGCUUCGAAGGCCUGUGUCCUCAUCAGCUGUCUCGGGACUCCACAAAGGAGUGAGUUUUCUUAGCUACAUCUGGAAUCUUGGUUGUCACUGUGGGAAUAAGACUCUAUGAGUCUGAAACUGCAUGCCUGCAGGUUUAAUCACAGGAUCAGUCUGCAGAUGGUUGCCAACCUUGGAUUCACAUGUUGAGUUUGUUUCAUCUUGAGUAGCCACAAUCUGGCCUGAGCACAUGAAGAAUUAAAAAUCACCAAAACUAUAUGUUUAUAUACGUUUUCAGUGUAUGAAGAGAAAGAAAUGUAGCAUAUUGACAGAUUCUGACAUUAAAAAUAAUUAUUAUAACGGCCAG